AGCUCAUAAGGGUCUUUAAAGAAUGCCCACUUGGGUACUCAAUGUCUUAAUUUCUUUUCCUCUCUCACACAUCUACUAAUUACUCCUUUCUUCUUCACCAUCGCUAUAUAUAAAAACAUCAUUGCAUAACCUUCUCAACCAUUGCAAGCUGAGCUUCUCAUCAAUCAUCAUUGGUGGCUAGGUCUUGCUGGAGAAGCAGGGCACGUGCAACAUCCCAAGCUCAUUUUGCACGUGCUCUCCUUUUCCAGCUUGAUUUUCCUACCAUUUUUUUCACUUCAAUUCAAUUUUGGUAACAUGAUCAACCAUCCAACGUUCUCCUUUCUCUCAUAUGUCAAUGGUCAAUUGGAAUGUACAGAAAACUUGUUAGAGAGCAAUCUCCAUCGCAGACUCUGCACUCAGAGUGCCCAACCUUCUUCACUGCAGAUACUGAUAUUGGAGACUAGGAGCCCCUUUGAUUAUUGAGUAAGCAAUUGACCAAAUGUGACGACUAAGAUGAGGCAAUGAAGUGGUACUUGGCAUUUCCCUUUUUAAAUUUCUCUACCUGCAACUGCAGAGUUACGGAGCAAUUCUUUUGCAGAGAGACAGUGUUGAGUAAAUAAUAGAUGGCGUGAGGAUAAUGGGUGUUAUCAGACACCAAAACAAAAUACUCUCUGUUGUGUUGGGUUCUGUAAGCACAAAACAAGAACCACUAUAAGUGGAAAUUUUCCUUACCAUGUUGGGGGUCACUGGCUGUUGCUGGCUCAUUUUAGUUCUGCAUGUUUGUGUUGGAAAUUGAACCGUAACAUAAGAGGGAGACAAAGGAUGACACUAACGUGGAACAACAAUCUUAAAAUGCAAGCAAUGUAACACAACACAUAUUUUGAUUUCAUGCACACAAAAUCUUACUACGUCACCAUUAUUCAAUUUGGAGUAUAUUUUCGUUGAUUAAAAUGAACGAACAAAAAUAUGUAAGUCUUGUAUUUUAUUUAAUGAAUCGGGAUGACUUUAUAAUUUUCAAUAAAUUUGGAAUUAAUGUUUUAAAGAGUACACUACUCCUACUACUAAGUACUAACACUUAUCGGUUUUAAUGCGAUGUGUGAUUUGAAGUCUUGAACACGCAAUGCACAAAUAUCUAAGUUGUGAGUGAGAAAGAGAG